ensembl:snRNA U1 U1 spliceosomal RNA
GACCUUCCAUGGGAGGGGAGGUACCAUGAUCACGAAGGAGGUUUUUCCCAGGGCGAGGCUUAUGCAUUUCACUCUGGAUGUGCUAACCUCUUCGAUUUCCCCAAAUGUAGGAAACUCAACUAAUAAAUUUAAUAAAAAAUUCUGAUUUGUAGUGUUUAGAA